rnacentral:tRNA from 1 species
GCCCCUAUAGCUCAGCGGUAGAGCUGCAGACUUUUAAUCUGUAGGUCCAGGGUUCGAAUCCCUGUGGGGGUA